rnacentral:rRNA from 1 species
GAAUCCUGACACAGGGAGGUAGUGACAAGAAAUAACAAUACAGGGCUAUCUUAGUCUUGUAAUUGGAAUGAGUACAAUUUACAUCUCUUCACGAGGAUCAAUUGGAGGGCAAGUCUGGUGCCAGCAGCCGCGGUAAUUCCAGCUCCAAUAGCGUAUAUUAAAGUUGUUGCAGUUAAAACGCUCGUAGUCGGAUUUCGGGGCGGGCCCGCCGGUCUGCCGAUGGGUAUGCACUGGCGGGCGCGUCCUUCCUCCCGGAGACGGCUGCUACUCUUAACUGAGCGGUGGCCGGAGACGGGAUAUUUACUUUGAAAAAAUCAGAGUGUUUCAAGCAGGCAGUCGCUCUUGCAUGGAUUAGCAUGGGAUAAUGAAAUAGGACUCUGGUGCUAUUUUGUUGGUUUCGAGCACCGGAGUAAUGAUUAACAGG